CCUACGGGAGGCAGCAGUGAGGAAUAUUGGUCAAUGGACGAGAGUCUGAACCAGCCAAGUAGCGUGAAGGAUGACUGCCCUAUGGGUUGUAAACUUCUUUUAUAAAGGAAUAAAACGAGGCACGUGUGCCUUUUUGCAUGUACUUUAUGAAUAAGGAUCGGCUAACUCCGUGCCAGCAGCCGCGGUAAUACGGAGGAUCCGAGCGUUAUCCGGAUUUAUUGGGUUUACAGGGAGCGUAGAUGGGGUGUUAAGUCAGUUGUGAAAGUUUGCGGCUCAACCGUAAAAUUGCAAUUGAUACUGGCAGUCGUGAGUACAGUUGAGGUAGGCGGAAUUCGUGGUGUAGCGGUGAAAUGCUUAGAGAUCACGAAGAACCCCGAUUGCGAAGGCAGCUUACUAAACUGUGACUGACAUUGAUGCUCGAAAGUGUGGGUAUCAAACAGGAUUAGAUACCCUGGUAGUC
rnacentral:rRNA from 1 species